CGGGGGGGCAAGCGUUGUUCGGAAUUACUGGGCGUAAAGGGCUCGUAGGCGGCCAACUAAGUCCGACGUGAAAUCCCCAGGCUCAACCUGGGAACUGCGUCGGAUACUGGAUGGCUUGAAUUCGGGAGAGGGAUGCAGAAUUCCAGGUGUAGCGGUGAAAUGCGUAGAUAUCUGGAGGAAUACCGGUGGCGAAGGCGGCAUCCUGGACCGACAUUGACGCUGAGGAGCGAAAGCUAGGGGAGCAAACGGGAUUAGAUACCCCGGUAGUCCUAGCCCUAAACGAUGAAUGCUUGGUGUGACGGGUAUCGAUCCCCGUCGUGCCGAAGCUAACGCAUUAAGCAUUCCGCCUGGGGAGUACGGUCGCAAGGCUG
rnacentral:rRNA from 1 species